AUGGUGCCAGGCGUGGAGCUUCUUCUCAUUGGCUCUUACUAGGGAACAGCUGGAAAGCAGGCCAAGUAGCCACUGUGAAGUGCAGGUCGAUAAAGAGGUCCCAUACUGCCAGCAGGUGGCCAACCUCAUCCAAGACAUUGGAUAGCAUCUCAAUGUCUCUCAGCUUACAGUAAACACUGCAAUUGUUUGUAUGUACUAUUCUUUCACUAAAUUCAGUAGGAAUCCUUGAUGGAGUAAAAUGUCUGCAGCAUGUAAUUCUUUGGCAGUGAAAGGGGAGGAACAGGCUCAGAAACUUGAACAUGUUAUUAAAGUAGCACAUGCUUGUCUUCACUCCCUACAGUGCUGGAUACUAAAUGUGGUACUUACUUUCAACAGACUCAAGAACUGGUUUUAAUUGAAACCAUAACCCUACAAACACCAGAUUUUGAGAUCAGCAUUGAACAUCCACAAUCAGAUGUGGUAAAACAUACCAAGUUAGUAAGGGCAAGCAAGGAUUUGACACAGACAUCUUAUUUGAUGGCUAUAAACAGUCUGCAUCUCACAACCUUCUCUCUUCAGUACAAACCAACAGUGAUAGCAUAUGUAUACAUUCAUUUGACUUGCAAAUGAUCCCAUUGAGAGAUUCCUGCAUCAAUUGAUGGAAAGCCUUGGUGGUAAUAUGUGGAUUCUACAGUUACUCUAGAAUUAUUAGAUGAGCUAAAAUAUGAGUUUCUAAAGUUGAAAAGGAUUAGAAGCUCAAAGACCAAUCAGGCAUUUAAUAAACCAAAAAUAGAUGAUAUUUAUCAGAGACACCAUUUCUUUAUCUUUGGUCCAGAAUUCCAUUUUAAUAGAUAGUAACACUGAUGUACCUAUAAACCCACGUUUUCAGAAAUGAUCUACAUUGGCAUUCCCUAGGCCACUUUUCUAAAUUCAGGCAAUAUUUCUGUAAAAGACAGUCAUAUACUGAUAAUUUGUCAAUGUUAGCAACAGGAAUGUCAAAUAUCUCAUACAUUUGCCAUCACACAAGGAAUGGCCUCAACAUCAAGAAUCAGCAAGGACAGAACAGAUAUAUUCACAGAAGCAGGAGAUAUUUUUGUCUAGUAGCCAGUACUACAUCAAUUUACAACAAGGACCUUCUAUAUUACUGCAUUCAGGAUUACAUCACAGACCUGACAAAAUUUCUAAUCAUUCUUCUAUUAAGCAAGACUAUACUCAUAAAGCGGGCAGCAGUAAACACCAUGGGCCAAUUUCUGCUACACUUAGAAUAAUUCCUUAGAAAAUAUCUUCAGAUAAAUAUAGAAAAAAAAUGUAAGCUAGAAACUCUUGAUCUUAAUGU
rnacentral:lncRNA from 10 species